rnacentral:rRNA from 1 species
AACGAACGCUGGCGGCAGGCCUAACACAUGCAAGUCGAACGCCCUAGCAAUAGGGAGUGGCAGACGGGUGAGUAACGCGUGGGAAUAUCCCCCUCAGUACGGAAUAGCCCAGGGAAACUUGGAGUAAUACCGUAUACGUCCGUGAGGAGAAAGAUUUAUCGCUGAGGGAUUAGCCCGCGUAGGAUUAGCUAGUUGGUGAGGUAACGGCUCACCAAGGCGACGAUCCUUAGCUGGUCUGAGAGGACGAUCAGCCACACUGGGACUGAGACACGGCCCAGACUCCUACGGGAGGCAGCAGUGGGGAAUAUUGGACAAUGGGCGCAAGCCUGAUCCAGCCAUGCCGCGUGAGUGACGAAGGCCUUAGGGUUGUAAAGCUCUUUUGGCGGGGACGAUAAUGACGGUACCCGCAGAAUAAGCCCCGGCUAACUUCGUGCCAGCAGCCGCUGUAAUAC